rnacentral:rRNA from 1 species
GUGUCAGCAGCCGCGGUAAUACGUAGGGCGCGAGCGUUGUCCGGAAUUAUUGGGCGUAAAGGGCUUGUAGGUGGCUGGUUGCGUCUGUCGUGAAAGCUCAUGGCUUAACUGUGGGUUUGCGGUGGGUACGGGCUGGCUUGAGUGCAGUAGGGGAGGCUGGAAUUCCUGGUGUAGCGGUGGAAUGCGCAGAUAUCAGGAGGAAUACCGGUGGCGAAGGCGGGUCUCUGGGCUGUUACUGACGCUGAGGAGCGAAAGCGUGGGAGCGAACAGGAUUAGAAACCCCCGUAGUCC